AUUGAACGCUGGCGGCAGGCCUAACACAUGCAAGUCGAACGAGUGGCGGACGGGUGAGUAAUGUCUGGGAAACUGCCUGAUGGAGGGGGAUAACUACUGGAAACGGUAGCUAAUACCGCAUACCAUCGGAUGUGCCCCGAUGGGAUUAGCUAGUAGGUGGGGUAAAGGCUCACCAAGGCGACGAUCCCUAGCUGGUCUGAGAGGAUGACCAGCCACACUGGAACUGAGACACGGCCCAGACUCCUACGGGAGGCAGCAGGGGGGAAUAUUGGACAAUGGGCGAAAGCCUGAGACAGCCAUGCCGCGUGUAUGAAGAAGGCCUUCGGGUUGUAAAGUACUUUUAGCGGGGAAGCGUUACCUGCAGAAGAAGCACCGGCUAACUCCGUGCCAGCAGCCGCGGUAAUUC
rnacentral:rRNA from 1 species